AGAUUAGUUUGACAGGCCGGUUUAAAAUCUGAACCGGUCCUAAAACCCCAGGUUACGGUUUCGACGAGCGAUAUAAAUUUGCAAAAGAAGACAGCAUCCACCAGUUGAGUUCCAUAAGCAGCCCUCGGAUUUGUUCAGCUUCUUGUUACCGCAAGCAGAAACCCUAAGUGUCCUUUACUCAAUUCACUGCCAUGGGUAUGUACUUUAUUUCACUGCGAAUUUCUAUGUUAGGUGCCAGAUCUUCAUUUACUCUAUCGUUCAUGCAACCUAGGGUUUAUUGUUGCAUCUAAUUUUCACUGGAUUUUUACUUUUAGAUUCGAAGCUGUUUAUUUUGUGUGAAAAUCGGAAAGUCCGUCCGUUACUUUAGGAGAACUCAAUAAUUAUAAUGGAUUUUAUGCCUUUUGGUUGUUUGAUGUGAUAGAUAAUAUUGAAGAGGACAUCA
rnacentral:lncRNA from 1 species